GCCCCAGACCACUCCCCAAUUCCCACUCCUAGCCCCGCGCCCGCCCUCCGACCCCGCCCCGGGGUCCACCCAUCCCUGUCCCCUGACCUCAGGUCCCGCCCCCCCGGCGCUAGUGGCCGGGCCAUAGGCGCGAGUCUCAGUCUGCGCCUCCGCUUUGAGCCCAGUUGAGCGCUCCCGGCGGUUUCCAGGGCACCUCCCCACCCCUCCUCUGAUCGCCAAGGCCUGGCCCGUGCGUGUGCUCACACCCCGGGGCGCAGUGCUAGGCUUUACAAAGAAGGCCUGGACCCCCUCCGCGGCUCAACCUCCCAAAUCUGGGGGCCUUCUUGAGCGUUAGGCCCGGCCAGGGAAGCAGGGGCAGCCGCAGGACGGGAGGGGCGAGGCUUCCAGCAGAGGCUGCGGGGUCGAGGCCUGGGCGGCAGAGAUGGGGAGAUAAAGUCAGAUAUCGCUAGAAGUUCUUUGAAAUCAUGAAGAAGUUUCUUCUUAUACAAGAGCAAAGCAAGAAGAAAUGGGAAGUUUGGGACGGGGCUAGAGCUGCAAGAGGAGGCUGAGAAGCAAGAGAAUCUGUGACAGUACCAGGGCUCCAGGGGCGUUGGGAUCCAGAGCGCAGCUGUCAGCGCCCACUCCCGGCUGGGCGUGCAGGCAGUGGGGUCGGCCUCGCGCCCCGCCUUCCCGCCCAGGGCCCCCAGGGCCGUCCCGCAGUGUGGACCCCGCUCGACCGCGGGCGCUGUGUGGCCCACGUGCGCGGGCCCCGCAGGUAGGGAGAGCGCGGCCCGGGAGCGCGCGGGACCCGGAGGAGGGCGCGGGGGGAGCGGAGGGAGGGGAUUCCUUUGUUUGCAGCCGCAGCCCCGGGCCUGGCCCCCUCCCCUCCCCUCCCCAAGCCCCUUUGCGCUCGGACCCUGAGCGGCGCGGGCCCGGAGCCCUGACCCCCAAGGUGAAGGCGGAGCCGGCCGCGGUGGUGGCCUGGGCUCCAGCGUCCUGGGCCCUGCAGGGUGGAGGUGCAGCCUGUGGACCCCGCGGACGGCCCUCCCCCUCCUCCCCCUGCCCCGGGCUCCGCGCUGCUCCGCCCUCCGUGCAGCGCGGCCUGCCCGGCUCAUUCAUUCCGCGCACCCCGGGGCCGGCCGGGGAGGCGGAGAGCGGAGGGGUUGGG
rnacentral:lncRNA from 1 species